rnacentral:tRNA from 1 species
GCAGAUAUGGUUCAGUGGUAGAAUGCCAGCUUCCCAAGCUGGAGAUGCGGGUUCGAUUCCCGUUAUCUGCU